GAAAUGCGGUAAGUAGUGUGAAUUGCAGAAUUCAGUGAAUCAUCGAAUCUUUGAACGCACAUUGCGCCCUUUGGUAUUCCUUAGGGCAUGCCUGUUCGAGCGUCAUCUAAACCUUCAAGCCCUGCUUGGUGUUGGGUGCCUGUCCCGCCUCCGCGCGCGGACUCACCUCAAAUCCAUUGGCGGCCCCCGCGUCGGCCACGAGCGCAGCAGAAACGCGAACUCGUGAGCCCGUCCGGGCGGCUCCCAGAAGCUACACCCACCCAGUUUGACCUCGGAUCAGGUAGGGAUACCCGCUGAACUUAAGC
rnacentral:misc_RNA from 1 species